GCUUUGAUGCUCAACCUUAUCCUCUUUGUUAGGGUCCAGGACCGUCUUUGGUCCUGUAGUUCUGCUCAUAGCUCUCGUAUAGUAGUAGUAGUAGUAGUAGUAGUAGUAGUAGUAGUAGUUUGGGAAUCCAGGUGCAAUUAGUACGAGCACGAAAACAACAAAGACUUGGUGGCGGCGGAGGCGAAG